rnacentral:rRNA from 1 species
AUUGAACGCUGGCGGCAGGCCUAACACAUGCAAGUCGAGCGGUAGAGAGGUGCUUGCACCUCUUGAGAGCGGCGGACGGGUGAGUAAUGCCUAGGAAUCUGCCUGGUAGUGGGGGAUAACGCUCGGAAACGGACGCUAAUACCGCGUACGUCCUACGGGAGAAAGCAGGGGACCUUCGGGCCUUGCGCUAUCAGAUGAGCCUAGGUCGGAUUAGCUAGUUGAUGAGGUAAUGGCUCACCAAGGCGACGAUCCGUAACUGGUCUGAGAGGAUGAUCAGUCACACUGGAACUGAGACACGGUCCAGACUCCUACGGGAGGCAGCAGUGGGGAAUAUUGGACAAUGGGCGAAAGCCUGAUCCAGCCAUGCCGCGUGUGUGAAGAAGGUCUUCGGAUUGUAAAGCACUUUAAGUUGGGAGGAAGGGUCGUUACCUAAUACGUGACGAUUUUGACGUUACCGACAGAAUAAGCACCGGCUAACUCUGUGCCAGCCGCCGCGGUAACAC